rnacentral:rRNA from 1 species
AAAUCGUAACAAGGUCUCCGUUGGUGAACCAGCGGAGGGAUCAUUACCGAGUUUACAACUCCCAAACCCCAAUGUGAACGUUACCAAUCUGUUGCCUCGGCGGGAUUCUCUUGCCCCGGGCGCGUCGCAGCCCCGGAUCCCAUGGCGCCCGCCGGAGGACCAACUCCAAACUCUUUUUUUCUCUCCGUCGCGGCUCCCGUCGCGGCUCUGUUUUAUUUUUGCUCUGAGCCUUUCUCGGCGACCCUAGCGGGCGUCUCGAAAAUGAAUCAAAACUUUCAACAACGGAUCUCUUGGUUCUGGCAUCGAUGAAGAACGCAGCGAAAUGCGAUAAGUAAUGUGAAUUGCAGAAUUCAGUGAAUCAUCGAAUCUUUGAACGCACAUUGCGCCCGCCAGUAUUCUGGCGGGCAUGCCUGUCCGAGCGUCAUUUCAACCCUCGAACCCCUCCGGGGGGUCGGCGUUGGGGAUCGGCCCCUCACCGGGCCGCCCCCGAAAUACAGUGGCGGUCUCGCCGCAGCCUCUCCUGCGCAGUAGUUUGCACACUCGCACCGGGAGCGCGGCGCGGCCACAGCCGUAAAACACCCCAAACUUCUGAAAUGUUGACCUCGGAUCAGGUAGGAAUACCCGCUGAACUUAAGCAUAUCAAAAGGCNGGAGGAA